rnacentral:lncRNA from 1 species
CGUGCCGCCGCUGACAGGGACAUCCUUUCAUGAAACGCUGAUUGCUGGGCACCUGAGCACUGGCAAGUCAGCGAGCCCCCGCGCUCCACGAUGCAGCCUCGGACUGAGACCUCGGAGGACGCCGCAGGUCGCCCGUCAGCACCCAGUCCACCGGGCCCCCAGCAGCGCGGUGCUAACGGCGUUUUCCCGCAGGGGAAUGAAACACAAAACAUGCAAGGAUUUAUGUUCACACAUUGCCCGCAGGCUGUAUCUGAAGCACGCUGUUUUCCUCUAAAAUAGGUCCACCUC